GGGCGCGUAGUUCAGUGGUAGAACGCUACGUUGACAUCGUAGAGGUCAUAAGUUCAAUUCUUAUCGCGCCCACCA
rnacentral:tRNA from 3 species